rnacentral:ncRNA from 1 species
UUGGGUGGUGCAGGUUGGAGAGACUUUUAUUUUUCAGUCUUUUUCAAAUUCUCUCCACUUAUAAUUCUUUCCCUACCUACUAUCUAGCGAAACCACAGCCAAGGGAACGGGCUUGGAAAAAUCAGCGGGGAAAGAAGACCCUUUUGAGCUUGACUCUAGUCUGACUCUGUGAAGAGACAUGAGAGGUGUAGCAUAAGUGGGAGGCCGUGAACCCUCGCGGUUGUGUCGUGCCAUCAGUGAAAUACCACUACUUUCAUCGUUUCUUUACUUACUCGGUGAAGCGGAAAGCGGACCAUGAGUGUCCACGCUUCUAGCACUAAGUGCAAGGCCCUUCGUUGGCCCGCACGAUCUGUUCCGAGGACAGUGUCAGGCGGGGAGUUUGACUGGGGCGGUACAUCUGUCAAAUGGUAACGCAGGUGUCCUAAGGCGAGCUCAGCGAGGACAGAAACCUCGCGUAGAGCAAAAGGGCAAAUGCUUGCUUGAUCUUGAUUUUCAGUACGAUUACAGACCGCGAAAGCGGGGCCCCUCGAUCCUUUUGACUUUAAGAGUUUUAAGCAAGAGUGUCAGAAAAGUUACC